UACGGGGGGGGCAAGCGUUGUUCGGAAUUACUGGGCGUAAAGGGCCAGUAGGCGGCCAACUAAGUCGGAUGUGAAAUCCCCAGGCUCAACUUGGGAACUGCAUCCGAUACUGGAUGGCUUGAAUUCGGGAGAGGGAUGCAGAAUUCCAGGUGUAGCGGUGAAAUGCGUAGAUAUCUGGAGGAACACCGGUGGCGAAGGCGGCAUCCUGGACCGGCAUUGACGCUGAGGAGCGAAAGCCAGGGGAGCAAACGGG
rnacentral:rRNA from 1 species